rnacentral:rRNA from 1 species
GACGGAGGACGCAAGUGUUAUCCGGAAUCACUGGGCGUAAAGCGUCUGUAGGUGGUUUAAUAAGUCAACUGUUAAAUCUUGAGGCUCAACCUCAAAAUCGCAGUCGAAACUAUUAGGCUAGAGUAUAGUAGGGGUAAAGGGAAUUUCCAGUGGAGCGGUGAAAUGCGUAGAGAUUGGAAAGAACACCGAUGGCGAAGGCACUUUACUGGGCUAUUACUAACACUCAGAGACGAAAGCUAGGGUAGCAAAUGGG